CUGCAGCCAGUGAAGCUGACCAUCCUUUUUGUCCGGUGGAGCCCAGUGUGCAGUGGUUGCAGACAGCAGCCUCCUUGGUAGUGUAUGCAGUGUCUGUCUUCUGUGGCUUGCCCAAGGGGCCGAUGAGACAUUC
rfam:Erinaceus europaeus unplaced genomic scaffold scaffold01011, whole genome shotgun sequence